UACAGAGGUCCCGAGCGUUCGUUCGGAUUCACUGGGCGUAAAGGGUGCGUAGGUGGUGAGUUAAGUCUGUCGUGAAAGCCCCGGGCUCAACCUGGGAAUGGCGAUGGAUACUGGCUCGCUAGAGUGCGGUAGAGGAGAGGUGGAAUCCCGGUGUAGCAGUGAAAUGCGUAGAGAUCGGGAGGAACAUCAGUUGCGAAGGCGGCU
rnacentral:rRNA from 1 species